GGGUCGUACGAUCUGCUGUGUAUUGGUUGGUGCUUGCAUCAUGAUUUACAUUUGAGUGAGUGGCGAACUGGUGAGUAACACGUGGGAAACCUGCCCAGAAGCGGGGGAUAACACCUGGAAACAGAUGCUAAUACCGCAUAACAACUUGGACCGCAUGGUCCGAGCUUGAAAGAUGGCUUCGGCUAUCACUUUUGGAUGGUCCCGCGGCGUAUUAGCUAGAUGGUGGGGUAACGGCUCACCAUGGCAAUGAUACGUAGCCGACCUGAGAGGGUAAUCGGCCACAUUGGGACUGAGACACGGCCCAAACUCCUACGGGAGGCAGCAGUAGGGAAUCUUCCACAAUGGACGAAAGUCUGAUGGAGCAACGCCGCGUGAGUGAAGAAGGGUUUCGGCUCGUAAAACUCUGUUGUUAAAGAAGAACAUAUCUGAGAGUAACUGUUCAGGUAUUGACGGUAUUUAACCAGAAAGCCACGGCUAACUACGUGCCAGCAGCCGCGGUAAUACGUAGGUGGCAAGCGUUGUCCGGAUUUAUUGGGCGUAAAGCGAGCGCAGGCGGUUUUUUAAGUCUGAUGUGAAAGCCUUCGGCUCAACCGAAGAAGUGCAUCGGAAACUGGGAAACUUGAGUGCAGAAGAGGACAGUGGAACUCCAUGUGUAGCGGUGAAAUGCGUAGAUAUAUGGAAGAACACCAGUGGCGAAGGCGGCUGUCUGGUCUGUAACUGACGCUGAGGCUCGAAAGUAUGGGUAGCAAACAGGAUUAGAUACCCUGGUAGUCCAUACCGUAAACGAUGAAUGCUAAGUGUUGGAGGGUUUCCGCCCUUCAGUGCUGCAGCUAACGCAUUAAGCAUUCCGCCUGGGGAGUACGGCCGCAAGGCUGAAACUCAAAGGAAUUGACGGGGGCCCGCACAAGCGGUGGAGCAUGUGGUUUAAUUCGAAGCUACGCGAAGAACCUUACCAGGUCUUGACUUACUAUGCCAAUCUNAAAAGAUUAUACGUUCCCCUUCGGGGACAUGGAAAACGGGUGGGGGCAUGGAUUGUCGUCCGCCCCGUGUCCUGGAAAUGUUGGGGUUAAGUUCCCGCCAACCAACCGCAACCCCUUAUUUNUCAGAUGGCCA
rnacentral:rRNA from 2 species